rnacentral:rRNA from 1 species
UACGGGGGGGGCAAGCGUUGUUCGGAAUUACUGGGCGUAAAGGGCUCGUAGGCGGCCAACUAAGUCAGACGUGAAAUCCCUCGGCUUAACCGGGGAACUGCGUCUGAUACUGGAUGGCUUGAGUCCGGGAGAGGGAUGCGGAAUUCCAGGUGUAGCGGUGAAAUGCGUAGAUAUCUGGAGGAACACCGGUGGCGAAGGCGGCAUCCUGGACCGGCAUUGACGCUGAGGAGCGAAAGCCAGGGGAGCAAAGCGGG